GUUGGUAUGGAAAGUUUUUAUCCCUGUCAUGCAAUCUUCCAUAAUUCGGGGCUCUAGCACAAAACAAAGUGGGCAGAUAAGAAGGAAAGCAGGAAGAGUGUGAUUCCCUUUCCCAGCCAGCGCCGCAGCAGAAGGCAAACCUGCAUCCAGAGUGGGCUCAGGAGAAGCCUUCCGGGAGGCAGGUAGGGGCCGGGCUGCCUCCUCCAAACCAACAGAAGAGGAUGCUGCGCUCACUGGAGGGACUGCAGGGGCGGACCGGGGCUGUCCUGCGCCGGCUCGGUUGGAGAGUCUCUUUCUCUCCGGGAGUCAGAGCCCCGCAGCCAGCCGGGGUGAGCGAGCAGGGAGCCCGUGUUCCCACGGCUGGGCGCCCCUCGCCGGCCCGCAUCUCUGCGCCGCUCAUCCUGAGGGCACUGGUUCACGGCCAGCUUCUGCUCUCCCUGCCCAAGCCGCGCGUUGCCGUGGCAACAAUCUUCCCCUUCCGGCCUGUGCAGUGUACUCUCUUGAAAGAGCCUCUGUUCUUUAUUUUCUCCUUCCUCCCGUCGCGGCCGCCUCCUCACCGUGGCUCCAGCUCCCGCUUCUCACACCUUGCUUCCAGCUCCCACUCCAGUGCCUUCGCGUUGCCUGCACAAGGGGGCCAACGGAGCUUCCCUCGCCCUCCUGGUAAAAACAACACAGAAAAAAAACACAAAAGCCACGCUCUGAUCUGGCUCAGUGUCUGCCCGCCUGUGAGGGAGGGAAGGAGGUUGGCGGAGCCCUGCAGAGCAGGACGUUGGGGCCUGAACCGCCUGGUCAAGAUGGACUCUAGUCGCCACUGACACUUGUUCCAGUUCACAGAAGAGGCCGGCUCGCAGCUCGAAAACCGUGAUUGUUGCCUGGGCUGGCUCAGCAGUUAGGAUUACAUUGGUGAUAUUUAAGAGAAGACUCAGGUGACUGUGAAUCUUCUCAAGCAGAAUAGAAGUUUACUUUUCUCUCACAGAAGUCCAGGGGUGGACAGAACUAGGCUGGUGAGAGUAUGUCUUAUGCACCUUUGCAUGCCCCAUUCCUGACACUACGACUCCCAUGAGUUGUCCAAAGAAAAUAAUUCAAAGGACUCAAAUAGAGGUUAAAGGCUUCAUUCAGCUGAUGAGGUCAGGGAGCACCUGAAGGCCAGCCAGGUAUAAAAUGAUGUGAUCAGACUACCAGAGCUCAAGAAGUCCCCAGUGAUCAAGGCUGAGCAGGAGGAAUGAGCAGAAGCUCACAGAAUUGGCGUGUAUCUCUAGCUUGAUGAAGCAGUCAUUUAAUACAGGGCAUUUCAUGUGAUCUCAGAAAGGAGAGCAGAGUCCCGGUCCCCUAAGAGCAAGCUCUCCCCCUCCUCCACUACUGUGC
rnacentral:lncRNA from 1 species